rnacentral:rRNA from 1 species
UAGGAAUCUGCCUGGUAGUGGGGGAUAACGUUCGGAAACGGACGCUAAUACCGCAUACGUCCUACGGGAGAAAGCAGGGGACCUUCGGGCCUUGCGCUAUCAGAUGAGCCUAGGUCGGAUUAGCUAGUUGGUGGGGUAAUGGCUCACCAAGGCGACGAUCCGUAACUGGUCUGAGAGGAUGAUCAGUCACACUGGAACUGAGACACGGUCCAGACUCCUACGGGAGGCAGCAGUGGGGAAUAUUGGACAAUGGGCGAAAGCCUGAUCCAGCCAUGCCGCGUGUGUGAAGAAGGUCUUCGGAUUGUAAAGCACUUUAAGUUGGGAGGAAGGGUUGUAGAUUAAUACUCUGCAAUUUUGACGUUACCGACAGAAUAAGCACCGGCUAACUCUGUGCCAGCAGCCGCGGUAAUACAGAGGGUGCAAGCGUUAAUCGGAAUUACUGGGCGUAAAGCGCGCGUAGGUGGUUAGUUAAGUUGGAUGUAAAAUCCCCGGGCUCAACCUGGGAACUGCAUUCAAAACUGACUGACUAGAGUAUGGUAGAGGGUGGUGGAAUUUCCUGU